AGUUUGAUCCUGGCUCAGGACGAACGCUGGCGGCGCGCCUAACACAUGCAAGUCGAACGAGCGAGAGAGAGCUUGCUUUCUCAAGCGAGUGGCGAACGGGUGAGUAACGCGUGAGGAACCUGCCUCAAAGAGGGGGACAACAGUUGGAAACGACUGCUAAUACCGCAUAAGCCCACAGCUCGGCAUCGAGCAGAGGGAAAAGGAGCAAUCCGCUUUUGAGAGCGCCCUCGGCUUCCGAUUUACGUUAAGUGGGUGGAGUAAACGGCCCCCACCCUUAGCAAACAGAUCGGUUAGCCCGGAAUUGAGAGGUUGAACCGCCCCCAUUGGGGAUUGAACCCCGGGCCCAGAUUUCCUAGGGGGAGCCACCAGUGGGGAAUUUUCCCCCAAUGGGGGAAACCCUUGAUGCAAGGGACGCCGCGGUGGAGGAAAGAAGUUCUUCGGGAUUGUAAACUCCUUGUUUUUGAGGAAGAUAAUGACGGUACUCAACAAGGGAAGUGACGGCUAAUUACGUCCCAGCAGCCGCGGUAAAACGUAGGUCACAAGCGUUGUCCGGAAUUACUGGGUGUAAAGGGAGCGCAGGCGGGAAGACAAGUUGGAAGUGAAAUCUAUGGGCUCAACCCAUAAACUGCUUUCAAAACUGUUUUUCUUGAGUAGUGCAGAGGUAGGCGGAAUUCCCGGUGUAGCGGUGGAAUGCGUAGAUAUCGGGAGGAACACCAGUGGCGAAGGCGGCCUACUGGGCACCAACUGACGCUGAGGCUCGAAAGUGUGGGUAGCAAACAGGAUUAGAUACCCUGGUAGUCCACACCGUAAACGAUGAUUACUAGGUGUUGGAGGAUUGACCCCUUCAGUGCCGCAGUUAACACAAUAAGUAAUCCACCUGGGGAGUACGACCGCAAGGUUGAAACUCAAAGGAAUUGACGGGGGCCCGCACAAGCAGUGGAGUAUGUGGUUUAAUUCGACGCAACGCGAAGAACCUUACCAAGUCUUGACAUCCUGCGACGGUGCUGGAAACAGUACUUUCCUUCGGGACGCAGAGACAGGUGGUGCAUGGUUGUCGUCAGCUCGUGUCGUGAGAUGUUGGGUUAAGUCCCGCAACGAGCGCAACCCUUAUGGUCAGUUACUACGCAAGAGGACUCUGGCCAGACUGCCGUUGACAAAACGGAGGAAGGUGGGGAUGACGUCAAAUCAUCAUGCCCUUUAUGACUUGGGCUACACACGUACUACAAUGGCGUUAAACAAAGAGAAGCAAGACCGCGAGGUGGAGCAAAACUCAGAAACAACGUCCCAGUUCGGACUGCAGGCUGCAACUCGCCUGCACGAAGUCGGAAUUGCUAGUAAUCGUGGAUCAGCAUGCCACGGUGAAUACGUUCCCGGGCCUUGCACACACCGCCCGUC
rnacentral:rRNA from 1 species